UACGGAGGGUGCGAGCGUUGUUCGGAAUUACUGGGCGUAAAGCGCGUGAAGGCGGCCGACUAAGUCAGGUGUGAAAGUCAAAGGCUCAACCUUUGAAAGCCGAUGGAUACUGCAGGGCUAGAGUCCGGAAGAGGCGAGUGGAAUUCCUGGUGUAGCGGUGAAAUGCGCAGAUAUCAGGAAGACCCCCCGUGGCGAAGGCGGCUCUCUGGGACGGUACUGACGCUGAGGCGCGCAAGCCAGGGGAGCAAACGGG
rnacentral:rRNA from 1 species